CCCAGCUCCUCGUCGAGGCGGCACCGCUGGAGCAUCCCCGGCACAUGCCGAGGGAGGAGCGAGAAACGCCCGUGCGGGCAGAGCCGCCCGGGAGCUCCGCGUUCAGCCCCGGCUCCCGGGGCGGCGUCUCCCGGCCUCGACCUCCCUCACCGAGGGGGCGGCCGUCGGGGGUCCCGGUUAGCCGGGAAGCGGCCCCCCGCCGCCGGAGAGGCCCGACCCGGCCGCUCCCGGUGCGCAUCCCCCGCCGCCCCGGCGCUGGGCUGAAGCACGCAGCCUUUUGUCUCCGCGACACCGAGCUGCGUGCCGCGAGGAUGCCAGCGCCAAACGACCGCCGAGCCCCCCCGGGAAGCCCCCGGAGCCCCGCGGCUCCCGGAGGAGGGCUGGCACCGGCCGGCCUCGGGGCGACGCGGGGCAGGACGGCGGCACGGGACCCGCAAAGCCCGGCCGGGGCGCUCCGCCUGGCGGCACGGCCCCGGCUCCGGGAGCCGCGGGGGUCCCGGGGGGGGUCCCGGGGGGGUCCCGGCGCCGCUCCCGUCCGAACCGGGCGGCGGGCGGGGAAGUUCCGCGGGCUCCAGGCGGGAGCUGCGCAGGCGCAAGAUGGCCUCUGCCCGGGCGGCGGCGCGGGGGGCGGCCGGGGGGGCCCGGGGGGCCCGAUCCGCGGCGGGGCGGAGCGGCGGGGGGGGGUCCCCGGCGAGCUCCCCCCGCUCCGGGCAGCCUCGUCCCGGCGGGGCGGAGCGGGGCGCUGCGCGGUGGCUCGGCGGCUUUGCGCGCAAGUUGCGCGGCCGCGGGGCUCGGAGGCAGCGCGCAGCCCCCGGGAGGUGCCCGCAGCCUCCUCCUGCCCCGGGGCUGCGGGGCAGGGCUGGGGCUCCCCGGGGGCUGCGCGUCCUUCCCGUGCGGCUGCUCCUUCUGUAAUUAGCGCGGGGUAAUUAGCGCCGAUGUCCCGUCCCCGAAAGCGCAGGGGCCGAGGGUUUGUCCCGCUCCGCCAGGGUUUUGCUUUUGUCCCGGCGGGGAGCGGGGCGCGGGGCUCGGGGAGCUCCCCGCAGGCACAAAGCCGGCCCCGGAGCAGGGCAGCAGCUCGGGGCCGGGCAGCCCAAAGGCUUUCCCAUCCUAGGAGGUAGGCAGAAAAGAUGAAAAAAAAUAAAAUAAAAAAGAAACUGUUUAGAGUAAAAUAAAGGAAAUCCGUUUCGAGGACCCAGAGGAGAAGCGAGAACGUUAAAAAUUAACAGCGGAAACAGGAAACACUUCGCUGGGUAAACACAGGCUCCCAAUUUCGCCGUAUGAAAGCCGGGAGGGCGCAAGGUGCUCGCCGGCACCGCGGCCACCCGCGCCCCGCCGCGGUACCUGCCUGCGGCCUCCCGAGCGGGGCCGGGCCGGGAAGCGGGGCCGAGGCGGGGAGAGCCCCGGUCCUCGCGAACCGCUGUGGUGGCAAAGAUCGGAACUGCAGGAGCUGCCGAGCGCCGGGAGCCGAGCCGUCCGCCAGAGAUGCGGAGAAGGGAAUAGCAGGGCUCCCCGCCGCCGGGGAGACGGGACGGGAGAGCCGGGGGCGAGAAUUUUGUGUGCCUCCCUCCCGUUCCUGCCCGUCUUCUGCUAAAGCCUGGGAGCUCCUUGCGCUCCUUCUCCCUCUCCUUCCCGGGGCAGCACCGCCGGGAGCGCUGCCCCCGAUCCGGCCGGGGCUGCAGGCAGCCGGAGCCGGCAGGAAAUUUUGGAUGGGCGACCACGGAAAAACCUCGCUUUGCAGCGGGCACGCACCGCGCCUGCCCCUGCGUUUGUCCAGCCGGACUGUGGAACAGGCUCCUAAAAACGCAGCACACUUCGGCUUCCAUCCCAAAUCCCAGCAAACGCAAUGUCGGGUGGCGAAAAGAUCCCUCUUGCAAGCGGAUAGCCAGGAUUUCUUUGCAAACAGCGGGGACUGACAGGCAUUUCUUCAAAAUCCCGUUCUCUGUAUAGCUGCGAUGGGAAAGGCGGUGGAAGUAGGAGGCUGGUGCCGCAGCUCCGCCAGCACAGCAUCCUCAGCCCGCCGGGCAUCGCCUCCCGGACCUGCCCGGCACCGCAGUGCCAGCUGCCCAGGGCCGGCAGCUCACCCAAAAUUACUUUCACGGGGUGCCACGAGCAUCCUCGGCGGCUUCUGCAGCCCGGCAGGGAGAUAGCGGAGACGUUUGUUGUUUUUCCAGGCGGACCGGGAGAAGACGAAAGAGCUGCAAGAGCUUAAUAAACCUCGGAGGGGAUCAGCCACCUCCUGCUUCAGCGCCUUGUGCUGCGCGGACACCUCGCAAAGAGCAGAAGAAGUUGCGUUUAAAGGCUCCAAGGGAUGGUUUUCAGCCCUUCAGAGCAGUGUGCGAGCGCACAGCCCCUCGGCUUGGGCUCGGUGUCGGGCUCGGUGCGAAUUAAGUCAAAGAGCACCGAGAAAUUAACUCCUGGGGUUGAGGAUUCACGCCAAGACACACACCCGGGCGCACGGAGAGGAAGCUUUGCAUUGAAACGGCUUUGGUUGCAGGGUGCUUUGAGGAGGAAGGCAGAGCACUACGGGCAGAGCACGGGGUUUGCCAGCACAGAAAUUACAGGAAAAAUGCCCCCUGAGCUUCGCCAGGGGCUAAACUCGGGCACAAAGGACGCGAAACGUGGGGCUGGCUGGAAAGCGAGGACACCCCCUUCACUCGGAGUAAUCCGAGGUCAAAUAAAGAACAGCAAACGUUUCCUAGGUCGGCACCCAAAACAAAUCGAGGCGAUUUCUAGGCAAUUUUGUUGCUGUUAUUUUCGUACGGUGCUGUUCUGUCCAUUAAAAAUCUUUUUAUGCCCCCAGAAAGAGUGGCACUGAGAACGUUUCCCCUGUAACAUCACAUUAUCAACACAGCUCGUUUGCUAUUUUUCAAUGAAUUAUCCCUUUUAUUUGUUUAUUUCUUUGAUCAACUAUAAAUGAAAGUUAUUCGUGUAUAUAAAACUGAAGUUUUUACUGUUGAAAUUGAACUGUACAUGUUUACUACAGGAAAAAAUAUCAACUCUUGUUUAACAAGACAUUAUACAUCAAUAAGCAAUAACCUUGUGGAGGAUUUGCAAUCACCUGGUCUAUAAAAACAAGCAGGACAAAUAACAGCAAUUUAUAUGCAAAAGUAAUGAUUUAAUGACUAUAAGCAAGACAAAGCAAUAGAAUUGUGCUUCUUUUGCAGACUGGAGACAAUGAAAUGUUUAACUACAAUUUUCCCGUACAAACAUGAAACAAUAUCCAUAUAGAAUAAACACCCUCACAAAUGUAUAACUGAUGGGUGAUGAACACACACGAAGUUCGACCAAAGCAAAGCACAAACUGAAAAGUGUUCUGGGCUGUUCAUAUUUUAUGUCGGAAAAGUUCCUUCUGCUGAAAAAAAAUAAUACCCUUAGAAGCCUCUAAUAAAAUGCACCUAUUUGCAGGCCAUUAAAGAGGAGGCAUUCUCCACAAUUUAUUGGAAAUAUUAAAGUACCUGUUAAAUUUUAAUGAAGUUAGUACUGUACCAUAUACAUAUAUAUUAAAACAAAUUUAGACAAAAUGCCUUCACCCAGCAAUUUGCUGGUUCCUUAAAAUUUAUACCAAAUAGUUUAUGGCUUCUAUAAUGAUUCCAUGUGCUUUUAAAAACACAAUCCCACCACUCCAAAUAAUAAAAAGGUAAUCAAACAGGUCAAUUACUUUCAUCUCCCUUAACUUUUUUUUUUUCUUCACUGCAUCACUUCAACAACAUUUGGUAAAGUUAAAAUAUACCACUUGAAAAAAAAAAAAAAAAAA